rnacentral:rRNA from 1 species
GCAAGUCGAGGGGUAACAGAGGAGCUUGCUUCUGCUGACGACCGGCGCACGGGUGAGUAACGCGUACACUACCUACCUUAUGGUACGGGAUAGCCCUGGGAAACUGGGAGUAAUACCGUAUGGUAUCGUGAGAUUAAAGAUUUAUCGCCAUAAGAUGGGUGUGCGUUUGAUUAGCUAGUUGGUAAGGUAACGGCUUACCAAGGCUACGAUCAAUAGGGGGCGUGAGAGCGUGACC